rnacentral:snoRNA from 1 species
AGCACUAUGAAUAUAUUAUUUUUUCUGACAUCUCUUACUGGUGAUUCAGUAUCUACAGCCACUGUGGCA